UGGGAGGAGCACAGGAUGAGGAGCAGAGUACAGAGUGAUGGGAGGAGCACAAGAUAGGGGCAAAGGAGCAGAGUACAGAGUGAUGGGAGGAGCACAGGAUGAGGAGCAGAGUACAGAGUGAUGGGAGGAGCACAGGAUGAGGAGCAGAGUACAGAGUCAUGGGAGGAGCACAAGAUGAGGAGCAGAGUACAGAGUCAUGGGAGGAGCACAG